rnacentral:rRNA from 1 species
UCCUACGGGGGGCAGCAGUGAGGAAUAUUGGUCAAUGGGAGAGAUCCUGAACCAGCCAAGCCGCGUGAGGGAAGACGGCCCUAUGGGUUGUAAACCACUUUUGUAGAGAACGAAAAGACACCUUCGAAUAAAGGGUGUUGCUGACGGUACUCUAAGAAUAAGCACCGGCUAACUACGUGCCAGCAGCCGCGGUAAUGCGUAGGGUGCGAGCGUUAAUCGGAAUUACUGGGCGUAAAGGGUGCGCAGGCGGUUGAGUAAGACAGAUGUGAAAUCCCCGAGCUUAAAUCGGGAAUGGCAUAUGUGAC